AAAAUAAAUAUUAAAAAAAAAAAACAACAAAGCCAGCCUCAGCAACUUAGCAAGGCCUUAAGCAACUCAGUCAGACCCUGUCUCUAAAUAAAAUGCAAUUGAAUCAUUUCCAGUUAACAGCUGGAGAAGGUUUUAGUAUUCUUUGGUGCAAUGAAGGUGGAAUAAGGAUAUGCAAGACAAACUGUGGCGGAAGACAAUUCAAGGGAUUCAGUUUAUUUUAAUCCAAGAAUAGAUCUAAUUAUACCAGUAUUUGUUAUUAGAUUGACCAUUGUGGUCUCCUUGGAUCUAUAUGCCAGAAUGAGAUGUGUUGCAAAGGUAUCUGAAUUAUUCUAGGGAAAAUGGGAGGGAUCAAUGCUAUGUUCUUGUACAUCCAUUUAUGUGUUACGUGUUACUUGUUCAGUUACAAUAAUUUAUAAUACUUAACUGUAAGUUCACUUAUCAAAUGAAGGUUGGUUUUUUUUUUCCCAGAAUUGAAAAGAAUACUGCAAAAAAAAAAAAAAUGAAGAUCACAUUUUUUAUAGUGCAUACCUGGCCAAUGUAACAUGCUACCUGUGUCCCAUCCCCAUGCUCUGGGACACCUGCUGUUUCCAAAACCCCAGGGCUUCUGGGAGUGUCUUCUGGAUGCCAAAGACUGCUGGGCUGCAUGUGAGCAGCACAGACAGACUUUAACCAGUGAAGGGGAGGAUUCGGGGUAUAAACACCCAACUUCCACAGCACUUGGGAAUUUCUCAGGGUGGCUGCAGUUGGCUGGACUCCCAGUUGCUUACAGCAGUAAUCACAAACGUGGUUUAUCACCAUCCUCUCUUCCCUCUCUCACUUCCCUCCCUUCUCAGGGGCUUCAUGGGAUUGUAUCCCUCAUCAGUAAGAAAUGCUCAUCUGGAAACUCCUGCUGGUGACGGGGAGCUAGACUUUCAGCAAACAGUAACAAGUUGUCAGACUAACAGCCUUCUCCAGCAUUUGCCCUUCAGCCACAUUAUGAAAUUGAAAACAAGGGCAGUCUAAUUGUCACUCAAGCUAAAUGACGUUGGAUCACAUGGUUCACAUCCACAGGUUCUUAUUGUUACUUUUUACCAUUGGUAUAACUUUAAACAUGAUAUUUUGCCUAUAGUUUGUCCUUUUUCCAUUUCUGAUACAUAUUUUUAUUACAUGCAAAACAUGUUACACAGUAACUUAUAAAUAUUUAUAAGUUGGGGUCAUAGACUUGUUUUCUCCCCAGGUCGAUGAGUGCGAUCAGUGAAAUCUAUUGCUCUACUAUAGAGUAGUAUUUUUUUACUCAUAAAAGAUAAAAAUUUAGUCACCUUCCUAUCACUCUCUAUAGUCUGGCAUGGUGCGUGUGUAUGAGAGAAAGACCAGUAUAUAUGAAAAACUUAGCACGUUCUUAGCAGAAUUCUAGCCUUCAAUAUAAUAGGAUUUUCCAUUUAUUUCAUAUAUAAAUGAAGUGAUAAUUUAAUGGACCAUUGUUCACAGAUUUAUAACUUAUUCUUCAGGAACAUGAUUAAAAGAUAAUGAACUUUUGUAUUAAAUCAUCAGUUGUAUAUUAAUGUGUCAUAUGAAAGACCUAGUUAUCUUACAAAGAUUUGCUUUUUUACCUGAUGGAAGGAAUUAAGAAUACUGGUUAAUAAAAAAUUCUUUUAAACUAGAAGUUAUACUAAUGGACUUUGUGAAGACUGUAGAAAUGCUAUUUGUAAAAAGAAUCAGGCUUAAGAGAAAGAGAAAUGACAUAUUGUAAAUUAUGUGGAGAGCAAAUACUGGGAUCCUGGAUACAACCCAAAGAAUAAUGGAAACAAGUGGGCAAGAGGUUGUAAGUCUUGAAUAUUUAUUGCACUUAUUUAUCCUAUUUACCUGUCCCCACUUCUCCUGCCAAAUUGAGGGAAUCCUAAAAUAGGAUAUUUUUAAUACUUUAAAUAAAAGUACUAUGAGAAGUUUUUAUAAACAAACCUUUCUUAGGGUUGGUGUAAGAGGCUGGUAAAGACAGUGUAUGGGAAAGAUGGUUCAGACAUUCAUAACUGCUGUAGAAAAUUAAGAAGGUGUUUACCACUUCACUUCAAAUGUAAAAAGCUCUCAGCUUUCAAAUACAAAGUACUGUAUUAUAAAUAAUGAAAACUUUUGAUGCAGACUGCUGUAUGGAUUAUCUAAGAUGAGGGUAAGAGACAUUUUCAGAUGAGCACAAACAAAAUAUAUCACCAAAAUUGCCUCACUAAGGAAUUUGUGAAAGAAUACUUCACAGGAGAAUUAUCCCAGAAACUGUCUGAGAUGUUCGAAAUAUUGAGACAUCUAGACAUAAGAAUACAGGAAACUUGACAUUAAAGGAAUGGAAAUGAUUCUCCAUGCAACAUUAAUCAAGGCUGUUUAUCUGCAGUAAGGUCAAACAAAAGACACUGAGGCAAGAAACGUUACAAGAGGUGAAAUUAAAAUAUAAGAUGGACCAAACUUUCCAUUCUCCAUUCUCCAAGCUGUAAAGUUCACAGGAUGUAAAAGGGGAACAGAUCAAUUCAGAAUGAUGGUGGUGGAUCCUGACUCCUCUGAGCAACUAGUAAGCCUCACCGCACAGAAGAUGAGCAGCAUGGACCAGCACACCCACCAGUCAUGUUCAGGGCACAUUAUUUAAAGCUUGCCACCAUCCAGGAAGGGUUACCGUGGCCACUUGGAGCACAUCACUUGAGACUGGUCUCCAUGUACCCACACAGACAUUGUUUUGGAGAUAGUAUUUUGGCUUUUUGUUCUGCUGUUUGUUUUUCCUUAUUGUAGGUACUGUUUUUUACUUGCCAUGUUUACUUAACAGUGUAUUUGUGGAUAUCUUCCCACAGCAAUUGAUAAAUUGUCCUAACCUCUUUGAAACUCAAUGUGCCACUGUUUGCUUAUCACCCCUCGAGCGGACAUUUAGGUUGUUUAUGUUUUUCUAAGACCUUACACAUAGCUUAGUAGUAACUCCAAUAACUCUUUAGGUAACGGAAAAGCUGUUUCAUGGGAAAAGGAUGUUUCCUUUUUUUCAGUUUUCAGUAUAGUAAUAUGUACUACUAAAGGCUAUAGAAAAACAAUAAUAAAGGCAGGGCUUUGGACCAUCA